rnacentral:siRNA from 1 species
CCAGGGGGUCGAGUAAUGUGGUA